GGACAAUGGCGGCGGCGGCGGCGAGGACGGUGGGUUCUGGGGUGGUGUUGCCGCGGUCGGUGACAUUUGUCACCGGAAAUGCUAAAAAAUUGGAGGAAGUUAGGACAAUCCUUGGGCAGUCUAUUCCAUUUCAGUCCCUUAAGCUUGACUUGCCAGAACUUCAAGGUGAGCCUGAAGAUAUAUCCAAAGAAAAAGCAAGAAUUGCUGCUAAAGAGGUGAAUGGACCAGUGCUAGUUGAGGAUACUUGUCUUUGUUUCAACGCUCUUAAGGGUCUCCCAGGGCCUUACAUCAAGUGGUUUUUGCAGAAGAUCGGUCAUGAAGGUCUCAACAACUUAUUGAUGGCUUAUGAGGAUAAAACAGCAUAUGCCAUGUGUAUCUUUUCUCUAGCUCUUGGGCCAAAUGCAGAGCCAAUGACUUUUGUAGGAAAAACGCAGGGAAGGAUAGUACCAGCUAGGGGACCCAAUGAUUUCGGAUGGGAUCCGAUAUUUCAACCUCAUGGCUAUGACCAGACUUACGCUGAGAUGCCCAAUGAAGAAAAGCACAAGAUUUCUCACCGAGGUAAAGCUCUUGAACUAGUGAAGUUACACUUUGCUGAGGCUCGAUACACUUUCCAGACCGACUCCACUACCUAAGACUACAAUCUAUGCCUCGGUAGUGACAUGAUCUUCAUGUUCUUGCUCAAGA
rnacentral:misc_RNA from 1 species